rnacentral:rRNA from 1 species
UCCUACGGGAGGCAGCAGUAAGGAAUCUUUCGCAAUGGGGGAAACCCUGACGAAGCAACACCGCGUGGAGGAUGAAGGCGUUUUCGUCGUGAACUCCUUUUCUGAGGGAAUAAUUCUGAAGGUACCUCAGGAAUAAGCAACGGCUAACUACGUGCCAGCAGCCGCGGUA